GCCAGUGUGGCAUAGUGGCUUGAGCAUUGGGCUAUGACUCUGGAGACCAGGGUUCAAAUCCCUGCUCAGUCA
rnacentral:tRNA from 1 species